CCUACGGGCGGCAGCAGUAGGGAAUCUUCCACAAUGGGCGAAAGCCUGAUGGAGCAACGCCGCGUGGGUGAAGAAGGUCUUCGGAUCGUAAAACCCUGUUGUUAGAGAAGAAAGUGCGUGAGAGUAACUGUUAAUGUAUUGACGGUAUCUAACCAGAAAGCCACGGCUAACUACGUGCCAGCAGCCGCGGUAAUACGGAGGGUGCAAGCGUUAUCCGGAUUUAUUGGGCGUAAAGGGAACGUAGGCGGUCUGUUAAGUCUGAUGUGAAAGCCUUCGGCUUAACCGGAGAAGUGCCUUUGAAACUGGCAGACUUGAGUGCAGGAGAGGAGAGUGGAACUCCAGGUGUAGCGGUGAAAUGCGUAGAUAUAUGGAAGAACACCAGUGGCGAAGGCGGCUCUCUGGUCUGUAACUGACGCUGAGGUUCGAAAGCGUGGGUAGCAAACAGGAUUAGAUACCCUUGUAGUC
rnacentral:rRNA from 1 species